GUCUAGCUAUUAAGUUUUGAGCGUGUAGUGAGUGAGUCAAAAACCUACCAAAGAAUGAGUGUUUAGAACUUAGAGUGUAAAUGUCAAACGCACACGUGGGAUGAAAAACGAAAACAAGAAUCAACAAAACAACAUCAACGAAAGGAAACAAAUCAAGCGCCAAAUUUUGCAAUUCCAACUGUGACCCGAAUUGUUCCUCUCUCGCGAAAAUUCGCCAUAGCUGUUGGGAAGGAACAGCAGGAGCAUCAGCAGCAGCUUUUCGGAAGACGGCGAGCGAUUCGACGGCAACAACAAACAAGCCGGAAAAUAUUGGAAGCCAUUGCACUGCGACUGAAAACAAAGAUUACCGAAGCACCGAAACGGAAUCAGAACCAACGGAGACGAAGUGGCACUUCAGAGUACGCCGUCAUAGGGUGUGAGCAAGAGGCGUAUCGCCUUCUCGUCAACCACACAAACGACGGUGGAAGUUUUGCUUUGCAACACACAGGCGGCCCCUACUGGGUGAGUUAUGAAACUGCAAAACGGAAGAUUCAAUGAUAAAGUGGUUGUUUGUCAACAGGGUCGUUUUUGGGAGCUGAGAAAAUCACUUUUCGGGACUCGAUUUUCGCCAUCUCGGUUUUGCGAGUCCCGUUUUUGCGAAAUCAAGCUGCGGACGUUGCGAGAGCCAGCCGGAAGUAGGCGGAAGUGCUCCGGGCAGCUGUGGUACGCCCGUCGAAGCAGUGCAGCCUGGCAGGGUUGCCAGUUCUACAGAUACGACUGUAAUAAGAAGAAAGGAAGCUGUGA